UGGGCGUCGGCUGGGAGCCUAAUAAUGCAGUCGAGCGAUGGAUUAAGAGCUUGCUCUUAUGAAGUUAGCGGCGGACGGGUGAGUAACACGUGGGUAACCUGCCCAUAAGACUGGGAUAACUCCGGGAAACCGGGGCUAAUACCGGAUAACAUUUUGAACCGCAUGGUUCGAAAUUGAAAGGCGGCUUCGGCUGUCACUUAUGGAUGGACCCGCGUCGCAUUAGCUAGUUGGUGAGGUAACGGCUCACCAAGGCAACGAUGCGUAGCCGACCUGAGAGGGUGAUCGGCCACACUGGGACUGAGACACGGCCCAGACUCCUACGGGAGGCAGCAGUAGGGAAUCUUCCGCAAUGGACGAAAGUCUGACGGAGCAACGCCGCGUGAGUGAUGAAGGCUUUCGGGUCGUAAAACUCUGUUGUUAGGGAAGAACAAGUGCUAGUUGAAUAAGCUGGGCACUCUGACGGACAUACCCAUAUAACCAGGGCUAAGUGCGUGCCAGCACCCGGGGAUAUUUUUAGGUGGCAAGCGUUUUCCCGACUUGUUGGGCCUAAAGGCGGGCCGCGGGUUUACUCAAUUGAGAUGUGAACAGCCCCGGGCUCACCCGUGGGGGGUACUUUGAAACUGGGAACUUGAGCGCCAGAAGGGGGAAAUGGAUUUCCCAUUUGCCCGUGUAAUUCGUGGAGAUAAGGAGCAACCUCCGUGGUCAAGGUGGCUUUUUGGGCUUUCACUCAUCAUUAGGGGGUAAAACCCGGGGAACCACCAUGGUUAGAUACCCUCGUAGAUACCGCCGUGAACGAUGAGGGUUAACAGGUAGAGGGUUUUCCCUCUUUUAGCGCUGAAGUUUACCCAUUUACCAAUCCCCCCCGGGAGUGAGGCCGCAAGGUUGAAAUUCAAAGGAAUUGACGGGGGGCCCCCCCAGCGGUGGAACAAGUGGUUUAAAUCGAAGCCACCCGAAGAACCUUCCCAGGUCCUGGCAUCCUUUUACAACCCUAGAGAUAGGGAUUUUCCUUCGGGAGCAGAGUUACAGGUGGUGCCAGGUUUUCGUCCGCUCCUGUCGUGAGGUGGUGGGUUAAAUCCCGCAACGAGCGCCACCCUUGAUUUUAGUUGCCAUCAUUAAGUUGGGCCCUCUUAGGGGACUGCCGGUGACAAACCGGAGGAAGGUGGGGAAGGCGUCAAAUCAUCCUGCCCCCUUUUGCCUUGGCUACCCACGUGCUACAAUGGACGGUACAAAGAACUGCAAGACCCCGAGGUGGAACUAAUUUCAUAAAACCGUUUUCAGUUUGGAUUGUUGGCUGCAACUUGCCUUCAUGAAGCCGGAAUCGCUAGGAAUCGCGGAUCAACCAGCCGCGGGGAAUACGUUUCCGGGCCUUGUACCCCCCGCCCGUCCCCACCCGAGAGUUUGUAACCCCCGAAGUCGGUUGGGUAACCUUUGGAGCCAGCCGCCUAUAGAGUUGACCGUCUCCCA
rnacentral:rRNA from 1 species